GCACAAGCGGUGGAUGAUGUGGUUUAAUCGAUGCAACGCGAAAACCUUACCCACCUUUGACAUGUACGGAAUCCUUUAGAGAUAGAGGAGUGCUCGAAAGAGAGCCGUAACACAGGUGGUGCAUGGUUGUCGUCAGCUCGUGUCGUGAGAUGUUGGGUUAAGUCCCGCAACGAGCGCAACCCUUGUCUUUAGUUGCCAUCAUUCAGUUGGGCACUCUAGCGAGACUGCCGGUAAUAAACCGGAGGAAGGUGGGGAUGACGUCAAGUCCUCAUGGCCCUUAUGGGUAGGGCUUCACACGUCAUACAAUGGUCGGUACAGAGGGUUGCCAACCCGCGAGGGGGAGCUAAUCCCACAAAGCCGAUCGUAGCCCGGAUCGCAGUCUGCAACUCGACUGCGUGAAGUCGGAAUCGCUAGUAAUCGUGGAUCAGCAUGUCACGGUGAAUACGUUCCCGGGUCUU
rnacentral:rRNA from 1 species